rnacentral:rRNA from 1 species
CCCCGCGCCCGCCGACGGCCCCCCUGAACGCUGUCUGAAGUUGCAGUCUGAGACCUAUAACGAAAUUAGUUAAAACUUUCAACAACGGAUCUCUUGGUUCCGGCAUCGAUGAAGAACGCAGCGAAAUGCGAUAACUAAUGUGAAUUGCAGAAUUCAGUGAAUCAUCGAGUCUUUGAACGCACAUUGCGCCCUCUGGUAUUCCGGAGGGCAUGCCUGUCCGAGCGUCAUUGCUGCCCUCAAGCCCGGCUUGUGUGUUGGGCCCCGUCCCCCCCGCCGGGGGGACGGGCCCGAAAGGCAGCGGCGGCACCGCGUCCGGUCCUCGAGCGUAUGGGGCUUCGUCACCCGCUCUAGUAGGCCCGGCCGGCGCCAGCCGACCCCCAACCUUUAAUUAUCUCAGGUUGACCCUCGGAUCAGGUAGGGAUACCCGCUGAACUUAAGCAUAU